ACGGACUAAAAGCUGUUUUGACAGCUUCUACACAAUGAGAAUGAUUUCUUUUUCUCUGUUAUAUGUAAUCUGUUAAUCUAGUAAUGUAAUGUAAUUUUGAUGAUUCAUAUUUAAAACACAAUUAUUUUAAUAGGAUCAAUCUUAGGACCGAUCUAGUUUCUCUAAUCCUAUGACUUUGGUCUCAAUGGUUGGUAGUAAAAUGUCAACAACAUUUAAAUGGAAACUUUUGUGGCAUAUCUUUCUCAAUUUGUGGUUUUAUCUUAAAAAAAAAAAAAAAAAAAAAAACACAAACAACUUAUCUUAUUAUAAUCUCGUUAUCAUAAGAUCAUUACAGGUUUUCAUACCAAAACAUGCUGGAAAAAGCUGUUAUAUCAUAUCUAUGACUAUAAUAAAUGGACGAGAGAUUUAUUUUUGAUGUAAUUAUAUAAAAAUGUAUAGUGUAGACAAGCAGUUUGUGGGUUAUUCAAAGCUUGACUAUUUUGGGGUUUGGGGUGAGAAGCGCGCACACACAUGCACACACUUCUUUGGCAGCUGACUAUGACCUCUUCUGCCCCACAAUCUAACAGAUUCAACCACACACACACCCUGGAACACACAUCCAAGUGUUUUUGCUCCAGUUGCCUUCUUUAAUGACUUCAACAUGGGCCUUCAAACUAUUUUUUUAUUUAGCAAUGGUUCUGAAUUUUGCUCACAGCAGGGACAUGCAAGAUUCAGAAACCAGAGACUUGGUUCUUCAACAAACAGUGACAGGGAUUUUGGGGGAAGAGGUCUACUUGCGUUGUCUGUACACUGGACAAAGUAGCAUAACGUUCUCCUCCUGGAACCGUAUCGAUUCUUCAAACAAGGCAAAGAAAAUGGCAGGCUACAAAUCCAAUGAGAACUCUUUCAAAAGAGAAAACUUUGACAUCCCAGCAUCAAUUACAAACCUUACUGUAAAGGUGAACGUGACAAGUUUUGAUCAAGAGGAGAAUACACAUGUGUCUUUGACUCUGAUGAGGAUAGAAACCAAGGAAACCAUGUUUCUUACUGUUAUUGGUGUAGUAUCAAAAAUGUAUUUCCCCCCAGAAAAAAAGGAACUCAUAUGGGUUUCAAAUGAAAUGAAGAAUGAAUAAAUGAUGACAAAUUCAUCAAUACCUCUGUUUUGUCUCUAAGCUCGGCCUGAUGUUGAUGAGGCUGUGAUUAGAUGGGAGAUCUCUGGUGCCCUUCCAAGAGAUGACAUCUUCUCUGUGAACAUGAUUAAUCCGGUUCAUCCCAAUGGCACAACCAGUUCGAUCAGUGUACUUCGCUUCCCCCUAAUUAUGAAUAAUGAGAGCACUGUUACCUGUGUGGUUGAGCAUCCAGCUUUUACUGAACCCAAAAGAGCCAAGAUAGAGGUGGACACAUUUGGUAAGUUCUGUUCUGUAGCGUUUUUAGGAAAAGCCAGGGAGUGCAAGACACAUAAGCUACAGUAUGUUUCUGUUGUUUUGCAAUAGCUACGAUUGUUCAGGAUGAAACCUAAAAGAAAGAACUGAGAAAUCAAUUUGGUAUUCUCCUACUGCCUGCUCUUUGCACUAAGGUUGCAAGUGUUUCCUGUGGUACCAUCACAUUUGUAGCGGCUGCCUGACCACAAACGUAGCAUAAUGUGUAGAUACAGUAUAGAUGUGUUCCUUUUAUAAUACAAAAACAGCAAAAUUGCAAAGAGUAAACAUCAGUAGUUCUUUAUUUUUUACUAAUUAUUACAGAAAAAAAAAUCUAUAAAAAAAUGGCUGAUAAAGAAAACUUAUGAAAACUGGUGAACUCAGCAAGAUUGUUCUCACAGUUAGCAGUUUAUUUGCUUGUUUUCAGGCCUGAUUCACAAAAACAGUUUUGCAAAUUGAGAACAAUACCAGUUCAAAAAUGUAGUUCUGAACAUAAUUUGCACAGUGCAGUUCUUGAUCUUGCAAACCUGUUAGGAGCUUAUGUUAUAUAAGAUGCAGCAGUCUACAACAAUCUAGCAUAAUUUUGGGAACCAUACAACAUCUCUGUACUGCUAUCCAGGCUUUUUAAAUGCUUAAGUCUGUUAAAGUUAUAACAGUUAUAAAUCUGUUAUCCAUCAUUUGUUCAGCUACUUAACCCAUGAUUGUACAGUAAUAGAGCGAGAUUGACAUUUUACUUGUAACUGUUGUUUAUAAGACAAUCAGUAAAGGCCUUAUUGUCAUAUAAAGUGUUUGCUUAUGGCAGUAGUGUUGGCGCUGAAAUGAACAACAACAGUUUAAUUGAAAUCCUCAAGUGUUAAAUGCUAAACCAUUUUGCAAGUGUUUUUGCACUCAGAAUACUGCAGUCGGCACAACUGUUAAGUGAAUUCACUUUUUAUCUUUUCUUGAAUCAUGACAUCUAAACCAAACAUCUUUCAUUCACUGAGAAAUACCUUGCUUGGAGCUAUAGUUAGCAUUUCCAACAGCUUGGUAAACAGACAGAACAGCUGUUUAAACUUCUCUAAACUCAAAUGUAUGCUUGUUUAACCUUAAGAUUAAACUCACAGAUACUCUUCUCAGUUUUCUAAAAAGAACGGUCUCUUUGUCAUGAACUUCCCUUGUUCUUAUUGGCACUUUUCUUCUUUUUAACAGUUUCUCCUGUUAUAAGCAUGAAGACCGUCCUGGUCCAAAAAGGAGGAGAAGACUUUCAAGAGGUCAUCUGUACAGCAACAGGAGGGAGGCCACAUCCAAAUAUCACAUGGAUACUGCCUGAAUUCAAAAACACACCACCUUUACAGAGAAAUGUCUCCAAACCAGAUUCAGUUAUCAGUUCAUAUCAGUUCCCAUCAGAUCCUUAUGAAGGAGAAAAUAUCUCUUGUGUAUUUAGCUAUGCGUUUCUCCCAUUCAUAAACACAAGGACAAUCACUUUGCCAAUUUACUGUGAGUACCAGCAUUAUUUAAACUGAAUAGAUGCACAUAUGUAGAAUAUUUAAAGCAUCUAAUUUGUAAAACUUUUUUCCAUCUAGAUCUUUCCUCACUUCAGCUGAAGAACGUUGAUUAUGCCAUUAACAGUGAGAAUCAGACUUCAUUGUCACUUGUGGAGGGUGGCAUGGACAUUACAAUCAGGAUGGAUGUUUUAGGCAAUGUACCAAGUUAUAAAGUGAAAUGUUCCAGGUAAGAUGUUAUAAUAUCAUCCCUGAAGGCCUUGAAUAUAAGCAUAAAAUGAACAUUUUAAAUGAGCACUGAUACAACAUGAAACUGUCAAUUUCACCCUCAAUUAAAAAUUCAAAUAUUGUAUUAUGGUGUGUUGACUAUAGAAUAAGCACACUGAAACAAGUUGUAAAAAGCUUGCUUUGCACUUUUGUAUCACUUGAUCAAGGGAAGGCCAACCACUACCUGAGGAUGUGGAUUUGGUUGGCAACAAACUCUUAGUCAGAGGACCUGUUGAGCUGCACCUUGCUGGACAAUAUCUCUGCCAGGCCUCUUACCGUAGACAUCAAGUUUCCCUGCAGUUUACAAUUAAAGUAAAUCCAAAAGUCCUACUGCCAGGUACUAUAUUUGCUUUCACAAUAUCAUCACACUGUACUGAUAUUCUACACUCUACAACUAAAGAUAGUCAACUAAAGUAUAAACUUGAUUUAAUUUCACUUUCAGUGACAUUUCCCCCAAAUAUCAGCGUGAAUUAUGUAGAGAAUUCAGACUACAUUCACAUUGAGUGUUUGGCCUCCAAUGCUGUACCUGCUGCAAAUGUGUCCUGGGUUCUUUCAAAAGAGAUUAAUAGUACAAUUCAGUCUGAAGAAACACACUAUAAUGGAUCUAAUUCUGUCAGAAGUGUGUUGACUGUGCCUAGCUGCAUGACCCGCAGAUAUGUAAUUGAGUGUGUAGUCGACCAUCCUGACUUCACGGAAGAAGAGAGGCGGCAGAUUGCUCUUCCUGUGUGUGGUAAGACAUUGUUGGAUAGAUGAAUGGAUGGAUGGAUGGAUAGUGCAAUGGUGAUGAUAAAACAAUGGAUGGAUGGAUGGAUGGAUGCAUGGAUGAAUAGAUUAAUGAUGAUAAUAGAACAAUGGAUGAAUGGAUGGAUACAUGCAUGGAUGGAUGGAUAGUACAAUGAUGAUGAUGAAACAAUGGAUGAAUGGAUGGAUGGAUAGUACAAUGAUGAUACUAGAACAAUGGAUGGAUGCAUGGAUGGAUGGAUGGACAGUACAAUGAUAAUGAUAGAAAAAUGGAUGGAUGGACGGAUGGAUGAAGGCAUUGAAGGCAUGCAUGCAUGGCAUGGAUAGUAUAAUGAUGAUACUAGAACAAUGGAUGGAUGCAUGCAUGCAUUGAUGGACAGUACAAUGAUAAUGAUAGAAAAAUGGAUGGAUGGACGGAUGGAUGCAUGAAUGGAUAGUGCAAUGAUAGUAAUAGAACAGCGGACAGAUGGAUGGAUGGAUGGAUGGAUGGAUCCUGUUGACAUAGGCAGCUCACUAGGUUUUAAAACAGAGCUAUCUAUCAAACAUUCUGACAUGUAGUUUAUGUUUUUUGGUUGUAGCACCACCGAAUAUUACCCUGCAGUCUAGUGUUGAAUGGGACAGUGGCAUUGCUUACGCAUCGCUGGUGUGUUCAGUGCAGAGCCAGACCCCAGCAGCGGCCAUCACCUGGGCUGUAGAGUGCCAUGGCAUUAAUAAUAACUCUAGUGAACUUGUAAUGACUCAACCUGAGCUUCAGCAGAGUCAUAUGGUUGUCGCUCAGAGCGUGGCACAUAUUCCUAUUUACUCACAUGCCGGAUGCACUGUGACCUGUGUGGUUGAGCAUCAAGGGUUAGAGAAACCAGAGAACAAGAGCAUCGUCCUCCCAUCCUUAGGUAAGUUUUACUAUAACAUUAACUCCAAAAGUAGUUUGACGCUUGAGCCAGACUUAGAAAUUAAUGAAUGUGAUUGCGUUAGGAAGCUAAAUGUCAGUCCAUUCAUACGUUUUAAAUGACCUAAUUAUCACUGUGAAACUGCUUUGCUUCUUGAAUUUAAAGAAAUAAUCUGCAUUCAAUAU
rnacentral:lncRNA from 1 species